rnacentral:lncRNA from 1 species
GAGUACGGGCUCUUGUAUCUGCAAGUGCGAGUAAUGCUUCAUCUGGGGCUACUGGUGAGCAGUUAUCAGAGCAGUUGGUCCGUGAUGGUAAGUCCGUGCCCUUCAUCAAUCUAUUAGUUUCACACAAUUCAAAUAUCACUGUAGUGUUGUUUUUGGUCAUCGCUUACGCUUGCAGUCUCCCCUUCCCGUAGAAACUGACAAUUGCUUCAUAACUGAGUGGAUAUGAUCCUUUUCCUGGAUGAAUCUAAUAUCUUAAUCUACAAUCAUAUACUUUGAACUUUGUGUUAUGCAAUUAAUAUGUGCUCACCAAAUUUAAAUGGUGCAGAUCAAUUUAAAUAAUUGAGCAGCUCUGGUUUCUGACUCUCCCUCUCCCAAUGCCAAAUUUACACCCUGGAAUUUUCUUCUUUUUUUCAUCUCUGGGUUGGUUAAUAAGCCCAAGGCUUUCGCUUUAUUAAAUACUAAAGCUGUUGCAAUUCAUGACUAUAGGUGGUAUCCCACUGCCUGUAUUUUCGGAGUGGUGGUUAACCAAAGAAAAGUUUUCUGCUAUUGAUUCAUUUAUCCAAUCAUCAUUUCCUGGCUCCACAUUUCAAGGUUGCAAUGGAUUGAGUGCUCAAUAUCAGGUAUGACUUAUGCAAAUUUUUUUGCAUUUACUCUGUUUGUUUUAGAAUAUGUUAGCCUGGCACUCUUACAUCAAGACUCCUAGUUUUAUUUGCUGAUGAAUAUGAAUGCCCCUUUUUUCUCCGGUAGAAUAAAGGAGCUUUUAGAUAUAUGGUAGGAAGUAACAGAAAUGAGUAGUGUAUCCCAAUUUUCCUGUUCUCUACUUGUAUUUUGCAGUAUUAUAGUCAGUAGAUGUAGAUGGUGAGCAUGAGGUGUAUUUGUCUAUUCGCCAGAACAAGAAGUAAACAAAUUUGUUUUGUUGUUUUAAAAACACGCAGUGGCACCUGAGUUACUUAGAAACAGCUUUCCUUGCUUUUUUCUUCCCAUUUAACUUGAAUCGAGAACAAUUUUACGUAAACUGAAAUUUAAAAUCUAUUUACAGGGUUUCCUUAUCCUUUCGAGGAACAUUCAAAUUGUUUCAUCCUCAGAUUUGAAUCUUGUGGUUUAUGCAUGACUGCAAUCUUGUUUUAAUGUCGUCUUAAGAUUGUCAUAAGAAAUAUAUGGUGAUCAGUGGGAUGAACAUAAUCGGUUUUGAAUCCAAUUGCUAUCUUCUCCUACUAAUCUGGAAGGAUGAAUUAGACUUCCAAGAUGAAUUACAUUAUGGAUUCACAUAAUUCUUAAAUGAAACUAAGUUGUAACUAACCAGAAAGCUUGACUUGUAUGCUUAGGUAUAUAGGGGAUGUGCAAAUUGAUUUUGUGCAGCAGCAGGAGCAUUUAAAAAGAAAAAAAAUGCUAAUGCAUCAACUAUUGAACUCGUACAUACAUUAUGUGGAAGCUUGCUUUUGGAUCUUUAAUUAGUUGAUGAUUUAUCUUCAAAAUGUUGCAGCUGCCUUAUGAGGAAGACCUCUCUCUUGCUGAUGUUUUUGGUCACCUAGAGCGUAACAGGUGCAGUAAUUACUCUUCGUGAAUUAUCAGCAUUUUCUAAAGCUUUUGGUACUGAUCAUGUGUACUUUUUCAUCUCUGCAGAAAUUUACUGGGCAUCAAAGAGUACAGUAUCAGUCAAUCAACACUAGAGACAAUCUUUAACCAUUUUGCUGCUGCUAACACAUGAAAUAAAAACUAUUUAGCAUAACCUUAAAUGGAAGCUAAUCCCUUCUUGUUUUUAGAGUUUGAAGGGUCUUUUUCUUCCAAUAUAUAUGGUAAUUUUGCUGCAAGCAGUGGAGGAAUUCCCCUUGAUGCAGAUAGAAGAUUCGCUAUAGGCAUUUCUGUCCUCUCCACUAGGAGUAUUUUACCAAUAAAUGUAUUGCCUUUCACAGAUUACUGUGGAAGUAUAAAUCUGUCUUAUAUAAUGGAACUUUUUCAUUGCUUUAUCUCAUCAUUCAUACUCAGUGUUUCUUCCUACCCUUUUCCCUCUCAUUGUAGGUUUUUUUUUUUUUUGGUCAAUUUUGGUUUUCAUUAAGACCAAGAGAAAGAGGUACAGAUGGUGGUGAAGUUUUCUCCAAAUACUAUAAAUAACCCAAGCAAUUAACUUAGUUGAAGAUUUAACUCGGGUAGCAACAACGAAGGUAUCAGGCACCAAUGGAGUUUGGCCAAACUUUGCCAACACAAGUUGUCUUAGUUAGUAAGGAUGGGUAAUUUCAUCACAAAAGUCGUGUGUUCGAAUUUCGCUAUCGAUGUGAGAACUGUAUUAGUGGGUCAUUUGUAAAAAUCUCUAUAAAUGAUCUAUGUUUUCGAGGCUAUGCCAUAAUUUGUGGUGGUAUUUGAGUCGGCAAUAAUCAGUUUUGAAUUUCACUAUCGAUAUAAGAACUGUGUUAGUGAGCGAUUUGUAAGAAUUCUUAUAAGCGACCUAUGGUCUCGAAACGAUGCCAGUUUUGAAUUUCACUAUCGAUGUAAGAACUGUGCUAGUGAGCGAUCUGUAAGAAUUCUUAUAAGCGACCUAUGGUCUCGGGACGAUGUCAUAAUCCAUGGUGGUGUUUGGGUCAGCAAUAAUUUUGGUUUUCAAAUAAUAAAACAUCUUUUAAUAAACAAUUUUUCCUAGUUAAGAUCAAAUGUUGGACCUUAGAAGUUAUACAAUUCAAGCUUCCCUUGGACUUAUCCAGCAGCUUGUACGUGCAUGAGCUAGAUAUGGCGUCAGUGUUAUGCAAGAAAGUGAAGAAAACAUAACAAUAAUCUAAUUCAUCUUUUUCUAAAUUCUUUCACUAUUCUUCUUUGGUGGUGGGGGCAACUGACUUGGAUUUAGGUAGAAGUUUUAGAUUAAUGGAAUUCUCUACUUUCUAGUCUUUACAAUAAAAUCAAAGCGUGGCUCUCACGCUCUUGGAAAUUCCAACACACUUGUCUAAGUUCUGGUUAUUGGAAAAUAGUAGUGUGAUUAAAGGAUUGAUUACACUUUUCGUCCAUGUAAUUUUGACAUUUUAACACAUAUUAGAUCACCCUCAACUAAUUUAUUUAAGCCUUUUGACACCUUAAGAUAUUCUUUUAUUAUUGAUCCAAAUUUUCCGAGAUUAUAUUGAUGCUUUAAUCAUUAACUCUUUUUUUUUUUUUUUGCUUAAUCAUUGAUUUUGCCAAUCUCAUGAAUCAUGAUUUCGAAUUAUAACGUAUUAUAACUUAUUUCGUUUCAAUAACGAUGGAAUUUCAAAAUAUGUAUAAUUGGCUAUUGGCCAGUAUAAAAUUCAAUAUUGAACGAAUAAUUAAAUGCUUAGUCUUUCAUCAAAAGUAGAUGUUGAUACAGGAAACUGGGAUUUUUCAAGCUGAUUAGGUCAUGAGUUUCUGAUUUCUAAGUUCCAUUCAACACCAACUUCACCCAACCAAUGUAAGUUUAUAUGAAACUAGCUUGGUCUAUUUUUGUUGAAUUUGAAGAAAAAGAAACCAAUUUUAUAUUUCAAGUAGUUGUAAUCUUUUAGAUAACAGAUUGGUAAGGAAAAAAAAAAAAAACAGUUCAUGUGAACAAAUAUAGAACCAGUUUUAGGUUCAAUUAGACCUAAAGACUAAAACCCUUUUUUUUUUUUUUUUUUGGUUUGGGUAUUUUUCAAAAUUCAAUUUGAGUACCUCAUUAUUGCUACCUCAACAAUAUGGAAAAGGAGACCAAGACUUUGUUGCCAUCCUGCACUAUUGGAAGCUACGAUAUCCACAACAAAAUUCCAACCCUUCACAUGGACAUGGACAAAGCUUUUGAAAGAAUCACAUGAGUCAUUCAUCUAAUUCUCUAACAUUACCUAAUCUAAGAGUCAAAAUUUGCAGAGUUUGAGCUUUGAAAUUUCUAUAGUUGCACUAAUCAAAUGUGUCCCAUAUGCCCACUCCAAACAUAGAGUCGCAGUCAAAAGAGGAACGUCUCUUUCCACAACCAUCUCAUCAUUUGUUUCAACUUGAAAUUGUCUCUCUUUUUUUUUUUUUUUUGCUUCUUAAGAGAGAAAAGGAAUGAUAUGCACAUAUGCACACCUACAACAUUACCAACUAAUUUUAAUGUAAAGGGUAUUUUUAAAAACUUGAAAAAAAAAAAUAAAAUCUCAACACAUUUCAGAUUUUAUGCAAGGUUUUAGAGGGCAGAAACAGCAAACCAACAACAAGCAACAGAAAAAAAAAAAAAAAAAAAAACAGAAACCAGAAGCAAAGAAUCAAAGCUUUAACUAACAUAUGGACUUUAACCAUGUACAUCACCAGUCUGCGUAUUAAAUUUUUUAUAUGAGCUGUUUUGUGUUGACAACAUAUGUUGAACAGAAUUUUGUCAAUGCUAUAACACGUUUUUAUUUGUUAAAGAUGUAGACUUAGAUCAUAUCAUAAAUUCUACUUUCACAAAGUACAUAUGAUCGUAGACCAAGGAGGUAAUAUCUAACCUGUUUGAUAAUCCAAUUCAGUACUUGAGUUUAAUGAAGUCAGAUCUUAAUAUGUUCGGGUGCAUUUAAGAGUUAAAAAUAGAACAUCUGAAUUAAUUAAGUGGCAAGCUUACUAAAAAAAAGUGAUAAACUAUUUACUUAUCACUUUUUAGCUUAUUACUGAAUGUGAUAUACAAUCAAAUAUAUCAGAUUUAACAAUUGAGUAACUUAACGGAUUCAGAUUUCAAAUCUGAAUUUUAUCCCUGGCAACCAAGAACUUAACUCCAAUAGUUCAAACUAUAAGUGGACAAAAUCAGCUACCAAAAAAGAAAGACCAAAAACAGAAGGUGAUAACUUGAAGUCGUCGUGAUGUUAGGUGUCAUUCUUGGAACAGAUAUUCUAAUUCAAUCUACAAAGGUGUCUAUUCCACAAUCUGCAAAUCUUGUGAGUUUGACUUAGUCGAAUAUUUAGCCUCAAUAUUUCAAGCCAAAAUAUGUGGUUGUUUUUCAGAAAUUGUCACAGUCGAUGCUCAACAAAAGUCAAGAAUUGUAAGAAAUUCAUGCAAAUAAACCACACGGAAUGUGAAACAAUCGCUGCAAUUGGAAGUAAUUUCGUGAGAACUGAGAUCCAUCUAGAAGCUCUUUAGUGCUUCAUUGCUUCUAGGUCCUGGUUUCUGAGAGUCAGGUAUUUUGGUCACAAUAACCCUUUUGAAAAAACAAAAGCUGUUGUCUCAAUCUUAAUAUUGUUGUUCAUUUGUGACAUACCCUCAAAAGAUUAUUUUCUGCUUUUACAUUUCCUUAUAACUAUAAUCUGUAUUGCACAUAAUAGACAAUUAAUCAUUUUGUUUACAUUCUCAAAUCAAUUUGAAUAUACAGUGGGAUGACAAUCCGGUCGCUUCGGGUCAUUUAGAUUAGGACAUUAACAACUUACAUGCUAGAAAAUCAUGCCAUCGAUAAGUUACAUGUUAGAAAAUCUCAAUUCACCACUUAGUUGUGCUAUUAUGGUAUAUUGAUAAUGACGCCAAUUCUCUUGGAUUAAUUAUAUCAUUAGCUUCACUUUUUCAUGAUUACAUUCGUAUUUAUCUACUUAAUCUUACAUUCAGUACUUGUACAACAUUAUUUAUUUACUUUACAUUCUAAUGUAGCUAGUAAAAGAUAAAAGGGCAAAUUACACUUUACCCCCCUGUGGUAAAGCUAAUUUUUACAUGAACCCCUUUUGGUUUUAAAAACUAUAUAUAACUCCCUCAUAAUUUAGAUUAAAACGUCAAAAUAACGGAAAUGAUCAUCCGUAAUGGAACCUACGAAAAUGUCGAAAUUACCCUAAUUUAAAAACUAAAAUGGUUUAAGUAACCAAAAUAUAUAAACAUAACAUGCAUGACACUCUAACCCCGUAUGAUUUUAUAUUUUACCAUAUAACCCCCUAUGGUUUAGUACUUUACCAUAUAACCCCCUUAUAGUUUUCAAUAUAUACACAUGACCCUUUGUGGUUAAUAAAUAAUUUUUAACUUUACAUAAGGGUAUUUUUGAUAUUUUAGUUGACUCCGUUAUGGAUUGCAAAUUUUGUCAUUUUGAAACUUUAAUCCAAACCAUAAGAGGGUUAUGUAUAGCUUUUGAAACCACAGGAGGGUUAUGCAAUAAAAUGCUAAACCACGGGAGGGUAAAGUAUAAUUUGCCCAAGAUAAAAGAAUAUGCGUAUACAAUACUAUAUAAAGCCAGAGAAGUGACCGUUGGUGUAAACAUAUUUUCUCAUUUUUUUAACUUCUAAUUUUAUCCUUAUAAAAAUUAACUAUUAUCCUAAUCACCGAAUCACAUCUUGCCAACAUAACUAUCAAAUAAUCUGACUUUAGAAAGUUCUUUGUAUGGAUUUUAUUAUGUUAAAAAGUUAUAUACAAUUAAUUCAAUUCAAUUAUUUCUAAACUGCACACACAUUAGGUGUGUCUUUAAUACUAGUGUGUAUAAUUCGGUAAGUAAGCUGACCUUUAUUUCUAGGCUAUUCGACUUUAAACUACACAUGCUAAGGUUUCAAAAUAAAGAUAAUUACAGAAACCUCUCCCAAAGUUUCUAAUAAUUUCACCUAACUCUCCUCUAAUUUCAAAAAUUACACUAACCUCUCUUAUAUUUAUUUUUUGAGUUAUAAAAUCUCUUAAAAGACACUAAUGUCGUUUGAAAAUCCUCAAUUAUUCUUCUUGUUACAAAGGAGAAAAACUUAUCUUGCAUUCUUCUCUUUACCGUCAGAGCCACCAACACUUCUAUCUUUUGACUUUCACAAUAACCACCAGGUCCACCUCUAUUACCACUAUCACAGACGGGCAACUAGCGAGGAAAAAUAACACUAAAAAACUAUCUAAUCCUCUUUGCUUUCAACCACGAGAGUCAUGCCAUGAAGAACAAUUUCAUCCAAACCAUUGUAAUUCUAAGGCACAAAAUGUUGAACAAAAAAAAACAAUAAAACAAAAUCUGCAAAGAGAUUCUCCAGCAAUCGAAAACCCUUAGGCUACCAACCUAAAAAAAUCACAUCUCUAUGUAUACCAUGGUUUCUACAUAUACUUGGAUAUUAAUUACUUUCAAUAAAAUCCAUAAUCAAAGCGCAUCCACUAAAAAUUUUUCCAUUUGGCAAUUGUUUUGAGACGUCAUAGAAUUUUUUUCCAAUAAAUUUUCCUUUUCUUGUCAUUUAUGAACACAAGUUCUUUUCCAUGUAAAACAGCAAGAAAGUGAAAGUUAUUUUCGGUAACUCAGCAUGCUAGGAGAGGUCGGUGUAAUUUCUAAAAUUAGAGGAGAGUUAGGUGAAAUUGUCAAGAACCUCAAGGAAGGCUUUUGAAAUUAUCCCUUGAAAAUAUACUCAAGUCAUAAUAGCAAAAAACAUCUAUGGAAAUCCCGGUACCAGAAACAGAGAGUAAUUUACAAAUUAAUGAUUUUUUAAAGUUUGAACCAUCUUCACAGUUCAUUCCUUUUUAAUACAUUGCAAAAGCACAAAUCUAAUACUUAAUUAACUGAGAGAUUUCCAACAAAAUAAGUACACUUAUUUGCACGAUUGAAACAGAAAAACUUGAGCAUUUCUACUAAUCUCAGCAAACUUUCUCUUCCUCUCUAUCUCUCCUUGAACUUCCAAUCUCACACCAAAAAGUUUUGGCCUCUCAUCAAACUCAUCAUUAUCAACAAUAGAGCCAUCAUUCUUCUCCCCAGCCUGGUCAGCAUACACGGCCACCAAAUCAAGCAACUCCUUGCAUUUCUUCUUCAUGGUAGAAAGUUCAGUGCUCAAGACUCCAUUCUCCCUCUUAAGUCGUUUAUUCUCAUCAAUGAGGACAGUGUACUGAUCUGACGAUGAUGAAGUUGAUGAUGACCUUUGGCUUUGGUCUUCAUCGGAUUGAUCUUUUGUUGGUGCAGCUGCAGCUGCAGCAGCUUGAUGAUGAUGAUGACUUUGUUGUCCCUUAUUAUUAUUAGAGUGUGACUUGUUAGUCCAUGCUUUUCUUCGACGGAUUUCGCAGAGCAGAUCCCUUUCGCCUUUGCGAAACAUGUCGUUGCUGAACUCCCACCGGGCCGUUGCAACUUUGCGAAAACCCUUUUUUUGAGUCAUAGAUAUUAGAAAAAGAACAUAAUCAAGAGCUCAUGACAAAGCAUAAACUAUGUAAGAAUCUAUCUUUGGCACAAAACUCCUUUAUACGAAAAGGUAUUGAUCAUAAAUAUACAGAACAAUUAAUCUUUUCUACACCGAUCGAUAGUAUUUAUCUUGAUAACAUAAAAGAGUUAUAUCAUAUACGAGAUAUAAUAAUUUAAGAGCGUUAUUCGUGGCCAUAUGAAGAAAUUUACAUUAGCAAUAUAUUUAUGUCGGAUUUUAUCCCUAUACCUACGUGGACUAUCACAAAUUUUCUUUACACGAACAUGUAUAUAUAUUAUUCGUGUAAAGUUAAAAAAAAAAUAGUUAACUUGAUGACAACUAUUCAUGGGCAUGUAAAGAAAAUAUUAUACUAGAACGGAGAUAAAAAGUUGCAUUUGAAAAAGAGUGCAAGUAGUUUCUUACACGGGAACUAUUCUAUUAAUUCCUCCUUUUUUCAUUGUUUUUCUUUUUCUUUUUCAUGCCCUUCUUUGGAUAUCUUUUGGUUUAGAAACUCAUCUCUAUACAACUUCACAUGUAUAUGGCAACUAGAUCUAAGUACUCAAAAAAAAAAAAAAAAGGAUCUAAUUAAUUAAAAAAAGGUAUCAUGGUUUUCUACGUCAAACAACUCAUUUGAUUGAUGGACCCAAUUAAGCACCUAUCUUUUUUGUAACGCUCCAGGAUCAUCAAUUCAACAAGAUUAAAAACACUAGAAGAUUAUAAACGCUAAAUGGCCACAAUUUUCCAGCCUGAAAGCAACACGAAUUCAAUAACUACAGGAUGGCUUUUAUCAUUUGACAUUUGCCAAAUUUUCACUCAAGAAUCAUGAAUCGACAAUCUUAUUGGUCAAUCCCACUCUCCAUGACUUGCAACCUGUGGCUCUCCAGAUAUAGAUCAUGGAUCGCUAGCUGAUUGGUAUCUAACAACCACCACUAAUAAAUCAUCACAACCCAAUAAAAAAAAAAAACAAAGAACAGUGUGUGUUAUGUGUGAAACGAAUCUGUCGAAUUUUUUCUGCUCUUGUGGGGUUGGCCAGGACAGGAUGUCAAAGAAAUAGUUCUUAACUAUUUACCCUUUCAACGCUAUGACUCAAUCUUAGGAUUUAGGAAGACUAGAAUUGUCUAUAUCCACCAGCCUUGUACGUCACAUGUGGAUAUGAUAAGAAUGUUCAACGACCAUGCAGGAAGCAAGCAUCAGCACAUAUUAUGAGGAGUCGUAUACAAAUUAAAUCAUGUACAAAUUUAUGAAUGUGCUUGGACAGUUAUUUGGAAAAUUUUUUAAUUAUUUUUAAUCGCCUUUUUAUUUUACAUGUAUCACAUCAUCAUAAAAAGUGUUAUACUAUUAUUCCCGAAAUAAUCUUUGAUACAAAAGGAAGCUACUUUUUUUUUUGUUACAAUAAUUACCAUUACUCAAAAGAAGUUCUUAUAAAAAUGCUUUUGGGUAGUUACCCUGUUGUAACUGAGUUUGUGGUAUCAAGUUAGUAAAUGAAAUAUAUAAAAAUGCUUUUGACUAAAAAAAAAGAAAGAAGAAGUUCUUUUGGUUUGGACCAAUAAAAUAGGACGGAGGGUUUGAACGGGAUUAUUUGUUCUUAGAUAAUUCAAUGAAAUUGACCUAGCCAUAUAUAUACACACACACACGCAUAUAUAUAUAUAUAUAUAUAUAUAUAUAUAUAUAUAUAUAUAUAUAUAUAUACACGCACAAAACACACAGAGACACACACACAUUUAUGGGGCUGUGUGGCGAUUGGAUUUCUUUGAGAAGACUGGCUUAGAUUGGAAAAUAGUGAACAUACAUAAGUAUUGAGCUGCCGGACGAAGCUAGAGAAGUUGCUGUGUUUGAAGAGCGUCGGGAGCAAGUCUCUGGCGAACUCCGCCGGCUGCCAGACGACAAAAGCCGUUCCCUCCGUGUUCCACGAGAUAACUUCAUCGGUGGAGGGAUCUUCAACAAGCAUGUAGGUUUUCAACAGGAAAGGUGGAGGUGAAGACUUCCUCACAUAUUCAAGCAAACUCUUCUCACAUUCAGGCUCCAUCAUCAUCAAAAAUACAAUAUAGGUAAUAAGAAUAUUUCAAGAAGAUUGAUAGAGAGGAUUUUAAAAAAAGGGGGAGAGAGAGAGAGAGAGACAGAGACAGAGAGAGAGAUUUUGGUGAUUACUCCUGCUCUAUGAUCGAAUUCUUUCUGACCCGGCUGGGAAAUUAAUAAGGAAGAAAUUAAGUGGAUGGUGAUGAUAGCAGGGUAACUAAGAGGUGGAGGAGGAGGACAUGAGAAGAAGGGCAGUUAAGAACUCCCAACCCCAGCAAUAGAAGCCCAAUACGACUCCGCAGUUCAUGAGAAAUGCAAGAGCUUUGCUGACUUGUCCUUCUCUCCCAAUAACUAAGACAGAAAUUGUUGAAACGUACGCUUACUGCUUCUUAUAUAGUUACGAGUCAGAGGAAUGGAAUUAUGGCUGAGCUUAGCCAACACCUUGCCCAUCUACUUCAUCAUACGUGUACCAAAUUGUCAAACGGAACGUGUGCAUAUUAUGUGUACUGUGUGUUUGUAAGGUGUGUAUAUAUGUAUAUAUGUGUGUGUAAUUGUGUAUGAGAUAUCCCCUAUUGAAGCUUGAUAUAUUUCUACUUAAAUACACACACAUAUAUAUAUAUAUAUAUAUAUAUUCUAUAGACCUAGAUCAUGUCAUCGUGUGAAGUAGAGUUCAUCAAACCAUGAAUUAGAAAUUAAUAGUAUUCAUUUUCUUUAGGUUGCAUGAAUUACUACCUCAUCAACAAGGUUUAAUUCUUGAAGAAGAUUGAUCAUUUGCUUGUCCAUUCUAACAAAUUAGCAAUUUUUGCUUGCUUGUCCAUUCUAACAAAUUAGCAAUUUUUGCUUCUCCCUUAGAACGGUAAAAGAGAAACCUAUAAGUGGACAUAUUUUUUUUUUUUUUUUAAAUUACUAUUAAUGGGCAUUACUUCAAAAGUACAAGAAUCGAAUUGAUAAAUCGCUCUCUCUCUCUUUUUUUUUUUUUUAAUGUAGUUUAUUCCCUUUAUAUAACUUGCCUUGAAAUAGCAAUUGGAAAAUGGGAACAAAAAUGUAAAAGAAACAGAAAUUGACGGGAAUUUUAGGUAUAUAUAGUCAAUUUGUGACUGUAGAUCAAGUUGAACGGUCAACAGUACUUGCAUGCAUAUAGCACCGUCUACGAGUUCAUGUCAUGUAUAAAUCAACUGUACGUGUGGAAGAUGGGUGAUUACAACAACUGAGCAGAAUUGGCUUGUGAAGAUUUUCAAGGAAAUGAAUAAUGCUUUUAUUUUUUUUAUUUAGGAUAAUUAGUAAGUGUAGGUGUGCUGGUAUUUUCUCUGUUUCUCAGCUACGUGUACAUUCUUUAUUUUAUUCUAAAGAGUCUAACGUGCAAAUUGCUCAAAUCCCAAAUUUCUUUGACAAUGUAGCGUUUAGUAUGAUUUUGCUGCUAUUUUUGUCAUCUUCCUUCUCUUUCAGUCAUUAUCUAAAUGCUUUGGAAGAAAUGACUUUAUUGACUUUCUGUUCUUCUCCUCCUUGUCUCAAAGGUUCAUUUGGGGAUUGAUAUAACCUACUCAUCAACUUGGCGCGUGUGAUUUGAUGUUAACCUACUUACCUUCAAGAUGAAGCUUAUUACUAUGGCCUCGGACGGCUCUAAAAUUAAAGGGUGCAAUUAUUAUUAUUAUUAUUAUUAUUAACCUUUUAUUUCUUUCUGCAACUUUUCUACCUCUGACUGUCAGAUGCCGCCGGUGCACUUUUAUUCUUAAGUUUGCUAUUAAAGAAAAGACUCAUAGCCUUACAUGAAAAACAAAUUUGGAUUGAAUUUGUAGGUCAAGUAUAGUAUCAUUUCUCUAAGUCUGAUAGCCAGAUUCCAACAAACUCAGUGGCAGUGGGAAAUCGAAAUGGGAUCAUGCUUGAAAUUGAUGUUCACUAGGGUUACAUGUCACGCUUGAAAUUGAUGUUCACUAGGAAAUCGAUUUGCUAGAAUGUUUCCUAGUGUUGUUAAGUAUCCGGUGAGCUAGGGUAAGGUUAUGGUUCAUUCUCAAUCUUAUUGAAGCUUUGCCAUAUAUGGCUCAUUAGGUUUCUAGACUAGCACUAAGGCCCCCAAAGUCAUGAAGUAUUCAACUAAUUCAUGCUCUCUAAUAGUACUGUAACCAUGACUAAUGGCUUCUAUAACCUUCUUUACUUAUUACUACAAUCUUCUAUGACCCCAUUCAGUUUCAUGUCAAUCAUUUGAUUAAUUAAAUAGAAGUAAACACAUUGAAAAACUAAAAAGGAAGAACAAAAAGAAAACUAUGAUCAUUCGAACCAGUCCUCAUAUUUUUGUUAUUUACAUAUUUCUUUUUCAAUUUUGUUAUUUACAUAUUUCUUUUUCAAUUUUUUCUCGAACCAGCCCUCAAAUUUUAAUUUUUUUCAUAGGCGUCCGAUCGAGCCUUGAAUUACAUUAAUUUUUUUUUCUUAAUUUUUUUCAUGAUUUGAUUUACGUCACUUGUCCAAGAUCUAAUCAACUCAUUCUUUGAAACUUUAAAGUGCUACAAAAGGUGAAAGUUACAAUACACAUGCGGUGUCUAGGUGAUUGCACUAUGCUGGUUACUUCAUUAUCUCAUAAUCCUAUGGCUUGUAUGUGAAGAUUAUCAUAUUUUUUUAAAAAAAUGUGAAGUUUAACUAUCCAUUAGACCCCUUCUUAUUAUUUUAAAAAAGAAGAAAAAUUUUGAGAUUUUUAUAAAAGUUGAAGAUUCACAAGUAUUCAAUUUAAGUUCGAGUUAUCAUGAUUUUCUUAAAAUAUAAAAAGUUCAAUGUUUGAUCUUAACUUUUGUAUGCAGAAAACAUUUGCUUUUACCAGAUUAUUAAAAUCUUAAGCACUAUGAUUUAUCAUUUUUAUAAGAUCUAAUUAUCUUAAAUAGGAUGAACUAACUACAGCUUUUAGAAUCUUAAAUAUAAUUUCAAAGGAAAAGAAAAAUAGUUGCGAAUUUCAUAUUCUCAAAAAUUAAACUCUAGCAUAAUAAACAAAUCAAUAUUGCCUAAUUAAAAAGCGCUUGUUAAGUCUUCCUCUAUAUAUAUAUAUAUAAAAAAAAAAAACCCAAAUGUAUUUGAGUUGAAAAUUUGGUAGUUUUCUUAUUUAUUCUUCGAUUAAUUUAUUUGUUAGUUGUUCCUUAUUUGUCGAAUCUUCGGAGCUAUUUAUGAUUUGUUGAAGCACAGAUAACAAGUCCAAAUUCUAGGGAAUCUAAGGUGAAAAGUCAGUGGCAAAAAUUAGUAAAAAAAAGCUCCUAAACCUUUAGGUGUCCGUCCGUGUUUAGGUUUUGAUAUUUUCACCAAACACUUCCUUUAUUAAUCUUUCCUCCCAACAUGAGGAAAGAUUCCAUAUAUGCAUGCAUAAUAAUUAAGAUGGAUUUAUGUUUUUUUUUAACUUUUCUUUACAUUCUUUUCUUGCAUUACUUUUUUACAUGUCUUUCUUGCAUGAGGGAGGAGCGUGAACGUGAAGGGCGGGCUUGAAUUUUUUAGCCUUCGAUUAUUAUAUAUAUUUGUUGUUUUGUUUGGGGGUGGGGAAGUAUUUUGUUGAACAGGAUGAGCUGAGAUGAAAAUAUUGAGAAGAAGUUUCCAAAAUUGGUAGGCAACGCUGAGUUUUCUUGACCUUUCUGUUCUAAAAUUCUUUCCUUUUUCUCACAACAUGAUUUGCACUUCUAGAGUUCCAGCCAUCUAUCUCUUUUCUGGUUGAUGGUUUUUGUUUUGUCUUUGGAACCCCUUCACCAACCAUCAUACUUUGCAUUCCCACUUGAAUGUUUUACGUGGAAAGUUGUGUGAAUUGGAAAUGAGUUACUAGUAGAUUUUAACGUCUUCAUCCAAACUUUAGACAAACGUAGAGAUAUGCGGCUCUUGGGAUUGUUUUUCUUUUAUAAAAGAAGUUGAGGAAAAGAAGCUCUCUGUUUAGGCUUUGAAGGCCUCGGUCUAAACCGCGGAAAAAGACACAUCUCAUGCAUGCGUGUAUCAUUUGUGUUGCUUUUAAAACCAGGAUGAGAGAGUUUGGGGUAAAAUUAAAAAACUGAUUUAAGGCUUUGUUUGAAUUGAGAAAUUUGACGAAGGAUUUGAAAUUCGUUCAAAUCGCUCUAGUUCUUUGAAUUGUUUAAUAGGUAUUCGAGUUUGUAAUAUAAUGAAUAUUAAAAUAUAUGUUAAAUACUAGAAUAAAUUAUAAAUUCAAAUGCCUCUUAAAUAAUAUAAAUAAUUAAAGGAAUUUGAGAGGAUUCCAAAUCUUUAAUAAAAUCCCUUAAUCCAAACGUUCACUUAAAAGAAUUUCGAGAGAGGUGAGAUAAGCGAUAGCACUCAAUUUCUCCUUGAACUAAGGGCCUCAACAAUAAAGAGAAGCAAUUAUUGGAGAAUCCCCGUUAGAUCCUUUUUUUAUGACUAAAAUUCUUCUAUUUGAAUGAGCAACGCUGUGUGAUUUUCUUUAAUAGAACAGCAUUUUCUCGUUUUAGAUAAAUAUUCAGACUUAACUUGUAGAAUAAGAGUGGAGUUUGACUCGAUAAAUAAACAAAUCAAUUGAGUUCGACUUAAUCAAUAAACAAAUCAAGUCUGAACACAAGUUUAACCAACAAAUUUAAAAACUGGUAUUCAACUUGAUUUCCCCCAUAGCCUCUAAAGUUCUAGCCAUGCAAUAGUCAAGAGGAGAGGAAUGUGACUUACUACUCAGCUGCCCAAUGGGCCCUAAGCCUACACUCAACCUGAGCAGGGAAUCGAUUACUGUUUGGCAGUCCAACUGUUAAGUCUAUUUAAUGAUAUCUCUGAGAGUGGGGUCAGGCCUUUCUAAAGUUGUCAACGGGAGCCCAAAUAUUUGAUCUGAGAUAAAUCCAGCAGUCCAGAAACAACUAAUGGAAAUUUCAUUUAAGAGUACUUUCAAAAGAAGAGAAAAGGGAAGUCCACUUAAGGCUCACACAUAUUACAUUUCAAUUUAGUGACAUGAAAUUUUUGUCUAUUUGUAUGUAGCAUUUUAAAUCUUUUGUCUCUCUAUGACAGCCUAACUUAAGGAUGAGAUUUCACAUUUGACUCUAAAACUCUUUUUAUUUCCUCUUUCCUUUGCAAAGACUAAAGUCUUUCUUGAACUUGAAAAUGCAUUUUAAUGAUGUCCUUUGUUAGUUAGAAACAUUUUAUAUACCUCGAAUUCAUCUAUAUAGAUUAGCAAAAUUCCGUAAGAAAAAAACCACUGUCAAGGAUGUAAAUGAAUUUAAUCAAAUAAAAUAUUCCAAUAUUUCAUACUUGCUUGUUUAUUUUGAAUAACUUAUUAUUAUUAUUAUUUGAGUAACGAGUUUAAAACUCUAUUCAAGUUCAACAUGUUUAUUUUAUUAAGACGAAAUCUUUUGUAUUAAGUCGAGUUCAAAUAGUUUAAAUUUUUAUUACAUACGUCCUUUCCUCUCGUGCAAAUUGAAUCAAGUUCGAAAUGAGUUUAAAAUUUUAUUAAAUACAAAAUACAAUAAACCAAAUUCGUUACACUCUUAAUGAGUUGAAUUUGAUUCGAGUAUCGAGUUUGAUUCAUUUUUCAAUCUUCAAUCACUACUAUUAAUUUUUAAAAAAAGAAAAAAAUUAAUUUUAAAGGUUGUUAUUCUUUUAUAUCUUGUUCAGAAUUGGGUUGGCACGUGGCAAAGAGGUAGGUAGGAAGGAUAUGAAGGAUAGGCCUCUUCUUUGACGCCACCAAACGCAGCAUUCGGCAACCCCAGACAAAACAAACGACAGAACAAGGAAAAUCAAUACUACAAAAUUUAAUAGUAGUACACUUCGACUCAAAAAUUUCAGAAAUUAUCCCAAACUAAAAUUUUAAAAAGAAAGAAAAGGAAAAUCUGGAAAAAAGCUUUGGACUGAAUAGCGACGACUUCAUCAGCUGGUUCUGGGGGCUAAAACGAAGAUAUCAUUGUAUGGUCCGAAACCAAUGGCGGCCACUGCCACUCCCACCAAAGUAACCACCACCACCACUACCACCGCCGUCGCCGCCGGUCUCCCUCCUGUCACCAUGCGAAUCAUUAUUGGAACUACUAGUAAUUUGGCAACUCACCGACUCCCUCAGGCUCCGGCCCCGGCCCUGGCGCCUGCUUCUUCUUCUGCUUCUGCGCUCAGUAAUGCCGGCCUUCUCUUAGUUAGAAACCGGUCAACGAUAUCGCACGCAACUGCCCGAGUUUGUUCACCGUCCAGCGGUUUGACUCGUCGCCAUUCUCCGCCGUGGUGGUCACCGUCAUUUCGAGUAGCUGCUGCUGCUGCUGGUGUUGCUUCAGCGGAGGAACAAGUUUCUAGCUCUUCAGGUGAUUAAGUUUAGCGUCUAGGUGAUCGAACGGAAUCUAAAUUGGCUUAAAACUUGGAAUUUUGAAUUUGGAGCAUCCUAUGUCGAGUUCCAUAUUGAAUUGUAUGGGAAUGCAUGCUCCGCUUUGUUGGAUUUUGUAGUAUCUGUUUGGGGAUGUUGAUGUUGUUAGUUGCUGAAGGAAAUGAUUGAUGAAAUAUAUUGAUUUUACUUUUGGGCCAAAGAUUGUAAUUUGUGUCAACUAUGGGAAGGCAUUCGAUGAUGAUUUAUUGGACGUUGUAAAAUUAAGUUGGAAGCCAAAGUUAAUGUGGUUAGAGUGGUUUGAGGAAGUGUGUGGUGAGGUCUUGUGGUUUCGAGAAUGAUUUGGUUGGUAAUAGAGCAAAAUUUAAAUGUACUUGGAAAGCAAUCCAUAUUGUGAGAAAUAAGCUUGGGGAAUUGUUAUUUGGAAUCUAAAUUAUGCAAGAGGCAUAAAGGUUUUGAGGAAUGAUGACGGUAGGUUUCAUUUUGUUGGACGAUACUGAGGUUGGAGGAGGAAAUUUUUGAGCUUUGAACUGAUGACAAAUAGGUGAUCAUGCUUUAGUUGGCUAUUCUGUACAUGAUCUAAUUUUGUGAAGUUAUAUUUGUCUUUUAGGGGUUAACAGUAAAAGGAUAGUACUGUGAAAAUCGUUGAUAAAAAGUGUAGAGGGGAAAGGCAACGAUAUGCCAUGGGUAAGAACCAUGUUUUGUUGGCAUUCCAUCCACAGCUUUGUUUGUUGCCAUAGCUUUAUAAGAAAAACAUAUAGAAAGUUAUUAACCAAUUCAAGUAAUUGACAGUUAAAUAAAGAAUCAAACUUUUCUAAUAAUGGAAAUAUGCUUUAGUUUGGUAAUACCCAGAAGGACUUAGCACAAACUAUUAUGAGACCAGGUAUAAGAGGAAUGUUAACAGGAGCUACUUUCUUUGACAGUGGUCUUCUUGUUUAGAUUCUGUGAACCUUAUUUAUAGCUUUUCUUUGGUAUUGAAAAAUCACUUUUCAACAGAAAUAUGAAUUAAGUUAUAUCUUGCUUUGAGAUCACUCGGUUGAUAUCAUGUGUUCAGGCCCUCAUUUUGCCUAUCUUAUUUUGAGCUACUUACUGUUCAACUCCUGCUGCUCUUCAGGGGGGAAAGAAAAGGAAAACGAACUACAUAGUUGCAAAAUGUUAACAACCACUGCCUUCAUUUGAUCUUAUCUGUACUCCAUUUUGAUGAUAUUUCACAGGUGUCUUCUUUUGUAGUUUAACAUGGAGUUUCCUUGAUAUAUUGUGCUUUUCCAUUCAUGCAGAUGAAACUGUGGAAAAUUUGGUAAUAAUAGGAUCAGGUCCAGCAGGCUAUACAUCAGCAAUUUAUGCUGCUCGAGCUAACCUGAAGCCCAUUGUGUUUGAGGGAUACCAACUAGGUGGCGUUCCAGGGGGACAAUUAAUGACGACCACGGAAGUAGAGAACUUCCCUGGGUUUCCAGAUGGAAUAACUGGUCCGGACCUAAUGGAUAGGUACAUAAAGAUGAGUGUUACUUUGUCUAUCUUCCUGAUCCUUUGGCAGCCAAUGUUGCUGUACCUAUUUUGUAGAGAAUUAUAAGAAUUGUGAUAAUAUUUCAUUCAUUAGGAUGCGGCGUCAAGCUGAACGCUGGGGAUCUGAACUAUUCCAGGAGGACGUAGAGUUUAUUGAUGUGAAGAAUCGUCCUUUCACCGUGCAAAGUAGUGAACGCAAGGUGAUGCUUAUAAGUAUUUGAUGUGUUAUUUUAGCGUCUGAUGAUUCAAUUAUUGGAGUACAAUGACUACAGACAUUCGACUAAAAUUGCCAUUGAAAAUAUAACUUUACGUUGAAGGGAACACUUUUCCAUAUGAAAGUUGAGGAAAUUCUUUGGAAUUUGUUUCAGUAAAUUAUUUCUUGGGGCAUCAAUCUGAGCCAGUAGCUUUAGAGUGGGAAAAGAAUUUGUUUUGGUCCUACUCUAACUUGUUAUUGGAGUGCAGAAGCUUUGUCCCUGUAAAUAACAGAUUUUUGUUAAUUGUCUACUUGCAGCAUAAGAAAUCUAUAGUCUAUAAUUUUCUCAACUUAUUGAUUGCAGUUCCAGUAAACCCAAUCCUUAUGAGGUUUUCAUUUUUGUGAGGUGUUUGGAAAAGCUUUCCUCGUGGGAUAACCUUCCCAACUGUAAUUGGGAUUCCUUCAAAUUACUAAAUAAGUUGGCCUGAGGCUGAGAAGUGAGAAAUGUUAGCUGUUGAUGUGAGAGUUCUUAAUUUGGCUUUGGAAAUCUGAAAGGCAGUAUUUUGUACCUAUUGUUCUUGAAUAUUUAUUUGUUUGUCCCAUAGAAGUACGAGAUACCCUUUAAUAUAAAGUUUUUUUUUUAUUAUUAUUAUCUUCUGGGUAGUGGUUAUGAAUGUCAAGGUACUGUCAUCUGUUCUAUUGGUCCUUUGAUUACAUGUGUUUGUGUUCACUAUGAGGUCAUGCGUACUUUAUUUCAUGGCUUAUGAGAUAUUGAGCAAACUGUGAUGUUAACAGACAUGAUUUUUUCCCUGCUAGCACACCAGGCAAUUGGAUUUUGGCUUGUGUUCAUGGAACUUUGUUCCUCAGAUGUUCAUUCUAGAACCUUUUUAUGCCUCACUUUUUGCUAAUGCUUAUUUGCAGGUAAAGUGCCAUAGCCUCAUUGUGGCCACAGGAGCCACUGCAAAAAGGUUGAGACUUCCUCGUGAAGAUGAAUUUUGGAGUAGAGGAAUUAGUGCCUGUGCAAUAUGUGAUGGAGCAUCACCGCUUUUCAAACGUCAAGUCCUCGCUGUGGUUGGAGGAGGCGAUACUGCUACAGAGGAGGCAUUAUAUUUGACUAAAUAUGCUCGACAUGUUCAUUUACUCGUUCGUAGGGACCAAUUAAGAGCAUCAAAAGCAAUG